AUACGUAUGGAGCAAGCGUUAUCCGGAUUUACUGGGUGUGAAGGGAGCGUAGACGGCAUAGCAAGUCUGAAGUGAAAUCCCAUGGCUUAACCAUGGAACUGCUUUGGAAACUGCCAGGCUAGAGUGCAGGAGAGGUAAGCGGAAUUCCUAGUGUAGCGGUGAAAUGCGUAGAUAUUAGGAGGAACACCAGUGGCGAAGGCGGCUUACUGGACUGUAACUGACGUUGAGGCUCGAAAGCGUGGGGAGCAAACAGGAUUAGAUACCCUGGUAGUCCACGCUGUAAACGAUGAUUACUAGGUGUUGGGGACCAAAGGUCCUCGGUGCCGCCGCAAACGCAUUAAGUAAUCCACCUGGGGAGUACGUUCGCAAGAAUGAAACUCAAAUGAAUUGACGGGG
rnacentral:rRNA from 1 species